rnacentral:rRNA from 1 species
UACGGGGGGGGCAAGCGUUGUUCGGAAUUACUGGGCGUAAAGGGCUCGUAGGCGGCCAACUAAGUCAGACGUGAAAUCCCUCGGCUUAACCGGGGAACUGCGUCUGAUACUGGAUGGCUAGAGGUUGGGAGAGGGAUGCGGAAUUCCAGGUGUAGCGGUGAAAUGCGCAGAUAUCAGGAAGAACACCAAUGGCGAAGGCAGCUCUCUGGGACGGUACUGACGCUGAGACGCGAAAGCGUGGGGGAGCGAACAGG